UUUACUGGGCGUAAAGGGUGCGUAGGCGGUCUUUCAAGUCAGGAGUGAAAGGCUACGGCUCAACCGUAGUAAGCUCUUGAAACUGGGAGACUUGAGUGCAGGAGAGGAGAGUGGAAUUCCUAGUGUAGCGGUGAAAUGCGUAGAUAUUAGGAGGAACACCAGUUGCGAAGGCGGCUCUCUGGACUGUAACUGACGCUGAGGCACGAAAGCGUGGGGAGCAAACAGGAUUAGAUACCCUGGUAGUCCACGCUGUAAACGAUGAGUACUAGGUGUCGGGGGUUACCCCCCUCGGUGCCGCAGCUA
rnacentral:rRNA from 1 species